GACCGCAUCACGUUAAAACACCAUUUGCCUUACGAUCACCGAAGUUAAGCAACGUCGAUUCUGGUUAGUACCUAGAUGGGUGACCGCUUGUGAAUACCAGGUGCUGUAAG